AGAGUUUGAUCCUGGCUCAGGAUGAACGCUGGCGGCGUGCCUAACACAUGCAAGUCGAACGGGCACUUUAGGGUGUUAGUGGCGGACGGGUGAGUAACGCGUGAGAAUCUAGCUCUAGGUCUAGGACAACCAUUGGAAACGGUGGCUAAUACUGGAUGUGCCGGGAGGUAAAAGGCUUGCUGCCUUAAAGAAGAGCUGCGUCAGAUUAGAUAGUAGGUGUGGUAAGAGCGCACCUAGGCGACGAUCUGUAGCUGGUCUGAGAGGACGAUCAGCCACACUGGAACUCAGACACGGUCCAGACUCCUACGGGAGGCAGCAGUGGGGAAUUUUCCGCAAUGGGCGAAAGCCUGACGGAGCAAUACCGCGUGAGGGAGGAAGGCUCUUGGGUUGUAAACCUCUUUUCUCUAGGAAGAUAAUGACGGUACUAGAGGAAUAAGCAUCGGCUAACUCCGUGCCAGCAGCCGCGGUAAUACGGAGGAUGCAAGCGUUAUCCGGAAUGAUUGGGCGUAAAGCGUCCGCAGGUGGUUUUAAAAGUCUGUUGUUAAAGCGUGAGGCUUAACCUCAUAAGGGCAAUGGAAACUAUAAGACUAGAGUACGUUCGGGGCAAGGGGAAUUCCCAGUGUAGCGGUGAAAUGCGUAGAGAUUGGGAAGAACACCGGUGGCGAAAGCGCCUUGCUAGGCCGUAACUGACACUGAGGGACGAAAGCUAGGGGAGCGAAUGGGAUUAGAUACCCCAGUAGUCC
rnacentral:rRNA from 1 species